GACGAACGCUGGCGGCGUGCUUAACACAUGCAAGUCGAACGGAAAGGCCCUGCUUUUGUGGGGUGCUCGAGUGGCGAACGGGUGAGUAACACGUGAGUAACCUGCCCUUGACUUUGGGAUAACUUCAGGAAACUGGGGCUAAUACCGGAUAGGAGCUACUGCUGCAUGGUGGGGGUUGGAAAGUUUCGGCGGUUGGGGCUGGACUCGCGGCUUAUCAGCUUGUUGGUGGGGUAGUUGCUUACCAAGGCUUUGACGGGUAGCCGGCAUUGGAGGGUGGCCGGCCACAUGGGGACUGCGAGACGGCCCAGACGCCUAUGGGAGGCAGCAGGCGGGAAUAUUGCACAACGGGCGGAAGCCUGAUGCAGCAACGCCGCGUGCGGGAUGACGGGUUUCGGGUUGUAAACCGCUGUCGCCUGUGACGAAGCGUGAGUGACGGUAAUGGGUAAAGAAGCACCGGCUAACUACGUG
rnacentral:rRNA from 1 species